CCUACGGGGGGCUGCAGUCGAGAAUCUUUCGCAAUGGGCGCAAGCCUGACGAAGCGACGCCGUGUGAGCGAAGAAGGCCUUCGGGUUGUAAAGCUCUUUCGCUAGGGAACUGGUACUUGGUAAAGAAGCACCGGCUAACUCCGUGCCAGCAGCUGCGGUAAUACGGAGGGUGCAAGCAUUGAUCGGAAUUACUGGGCGUAAAGGGCGCGUAGGCGGUAAGAAAAGUCAGAUGUGAAAUGCCGGGGCUCAACCCCGGAGCUGCAUUUGAAACUUUCCAACUAGAGGUAGGUAAGGGAAAACAGAAUUCCACGUGUAGCGGUGAAAUGCGUAGAGAUGUGGAAGAAUACCGGUGGUGAAGACGGUUUUCUGCCUAACCUGACGCUGAGGCGCGAAAGCUAGGGGAGCAAACAGGAUUAGAUACCCUUGUAGUC
rnacentral:rRNA from 1 species